GACGAACGCUGGCGGCGUGCCUAAUACAUGCAAGUCGAACGCAGUGGGGACGGGUGAGUAAACAGUGGGUAACCUCCCAUCAGAGGGGAUAACACGUGGAAACAGGUGCUAAACCGAUACUGAUGGAUGGACCCGCGGUGCAUUAGCUAGUUGGUGAGGUAACGGCUCACCAAGGCCACGAGGCAUAGCCGACGUGAGGGGGUGAUCGGCCACACUGGGACUGAAACACGGCCUAGACUCCUACGGGAGGCAUCAGUAGGUAAGCAUCGGCAAUGGACGAAAGUCUGACCGAGACACCCCGCGUGCGUGAAGGAGGUUUACGGAUCGUAAAACUCUGUUGUUAGAUAAGCGGUAUCUAACCAGAAAGCCACGGGUAGCUACGUGCCAGCAGCGGCAGUAAUAC
rnacentral:rRNA from 1 species